rnacentral:rRNA from 1 species
AUGGAAAUGCUCUUCAGCAGCCUGUUCUGUGACUCAGCAUCAUCGGAGAACUUCUCUGGCCAUCCGGGUGUUGAGAAAUGCCCAUUCCUGAGGAACAUCAAUGGAGCUACAACCUUUUCAUUUUCUUCUGCUUUGCCUGUGGCUGCUCGAGGAGGCAAGGGCCCCAUCUUUGAGGAUGGACCAGGCUUUGAGUCGGCAUUCAAGCUUUUCCAUGGACAGGAUGGGAUAGUUCCCCUUUCAGGAAGAUCAUAUGUGCCUGAUGAGUACCACAGUGAGAGCACUGAUGUCAAGCCCGAACCUGCCCUUCCCUUUAAUCCAUUGGCUGCUAGAGCCGCUACCAUAAGCCUAUCAGCAUUUGGACCAUUUGGGUUUAACUUCUUUAAUGGCAAGGGCAAAAAGCAGAACAAGAAGCCCAACAAUCUAGACCAGUCACAGAAGAAGCCUAACAAGCCAGAUCAGAAUUCCAUGAAACAAAAAGGAGGCAACCCACCGUCCCACGAGGCAAUGAGUGAUGAAUGGCUAGAAAAUGGACAGUGCCCACUCGCUCGGUCUUACCGGGCAAUGAGUGGUGUUCUGCCCCUUGUCGCCAAGGCACUACAGCCACCAGCUGGUAUGAAGCUGAAGUGUCCGCCUGCAAUUGUUGCUGCACGAGCAGCCCUUGCACGCACAACCCUCGUGAAGUCUCUCCGUCCCCAGCCCCUGCCUGCAAAGAUGGUAGCCAUCGCAAUGCUCGGGAUGGCAGCAAACGUCCCUCUAGGGGUGUGGCGCGAGCACACCAAGAAAUUCUCCCCCCAGUGGUUUGCAGCAGUCCAUGCCGCCGUUCCGUUCAUUGCGAUGCUGAGGAAGUCCGUCAACAUGCCCAGGACCGCGAUGGUGUUCACCAUAGCAGCCUCCAUCCUCGGGCAGACCAUCGGGUCGAGGGCUGAGCGCAUCCGCCUGAAGACUCUGGCUGCAAAGGGCACCACCAGCCCCGCCACCACAGUCACUAUCAUGUAUCCAGACAAGAGCGGCAGCUGCAGCGAUGCCGAGGGCAAGGUGUGGGAUCCUCUUGCGCUGAAGAUGCCUGGCUCUGCUAACGCCGGCGCUCCUGCACCAACCCCUAGCAUGUGCUUCUAA